CACUGGCACCUUCCCCUGCUGUGUGGCCUCAGGCAGACCCCAGUUACUCCCCUCAGGGUCCAGCAUCCUUGAUUCCAGGUGAAGCCACUGCCCUGAAUACAGGCCAAACAGCACGGACUGCUUGCCCGUCCAGCCCCUCUCUUGGAACAUCAAGCAGGGAAGAAAGAGGGAGAAAACUUGCCCCUAGAGGAUCAUCCCGGGAUGACGCCCAGUCUGGGUAACACAUAGAGAGGAACGUGGGUUCGAAUCUUAGUCCUGCCACAUAUGAGAAAAAUCCAAGGCUCAAAAGGAGGGUGUGGUUUGCCACGUGACCCGCAGCUAAUCAGCAGGACUCCAGCCUCAGCCCUCAGCUGGCCUCCCCCCAGUUUAUGGGCCCUCCGGGAGGAGUGCACCUUCCCCACAGUCAUGCGGGGCUUCGGGGCUGCCUCUGGACGUUCAAGCAGGGAGUGAUGGAGAUCAGGGGACAACAGCAGGGUGAAGUUUGGUGAGCCGGUCAAGCUUGUGGUGUUUGGGCCUGGACGGCAGGGGCCUGGAGCAGCACCCUGGGGGGAACCAGGGGACAACCAGCACUCCAGGCCCCUUGAGUGGGGAACUGGGCCCAGGGUACCUGCCGUUUUCUGAGAUAGUGGGAGUGGGGUUGGUGGGGGGGUGUUGGCAGAGAAAGAGACACCAGCUAAUUGAAAUAAUAGUAACAACAGGUCUGGCUCCGGGGCCGAAAGAGAUGUUGGGGGCCAAGAAACCUGGCCAAGGCGACAGCUGCCUCCCCUGGAGUAGGAGCCCAGCUCUGGCCCUGCCCUGGAUAUGGGCAGCCCUGUCCAAAGUACAGAAGUCACCUGCAGGUCGCCCAGCCUGAGCUCUGCGAGGACAGCCUGGCCUGGCAGUGCCCCAAGCCCUGAGGCAACUCUCAGAGAAGACAGAAUCGGGGAAAGGAAAGGGAAGCUGGGGAGGGAGGGGGAGGCCAGGGGCUCUCUGUGCAGCA